CGGCGUGCACCUGCCCCCGGGGCGCUCUCAGCCAGGCGGAGAGGUGGCCCCCCGUGCCGCGGCGACUCUCGCAAGGUGGGACACGACGUGAAAGGCCAAGUGCUGGGGGAGCCCAGGGGAGGCGCCUGACUCCAAGCCGGGGCAGGACAGGCCUUCACAGGGACAGCUCUGUCUAAGGUGGGACCUCGCAUGAGUCAGGAUGAGCGAGGCCGGGCUGCACUAACAAACAGGCUCCAGUCUGAGUGUCUCGACACGACAGAGUUCGGUUCUUUACUCUCGUCUCGGGCCAGCAAGGGUCUUCUUGGUGGGUCCCCUCGAGCAGCGACGCGGGGAUCCACGUCUGUGGUGGGAGCGAGGCACCCGGUUCGAACUGCCUCGACCCGGAUGGCAUCUGGAGAGACCGAGGGCCGCAGUUCCAGGGAAGCUGAGGGAGGUUUCCCCUGAACCCAAGAAGAGGCAACGGAGUGAGACCCACAGAGCCCCAGGUCAAGCCGGAGGCAAGGAAGGCGGCACGGGGCUGAAAUUGUUUACUCCCGACCCACGGAGCCUUUGCCACGUCACCCGGAAUUCACAGCAGCCUUGCUCGAGCCAACGUACGACUUGAGUUUCCCACGCUGUGAGAUGAAGUUCGUCACGUUCACUUAGCAGGAGCCUCGUGAGGAUUCGGCAAGGAUGUUUGCAAAACUCGGGGCG